UGCGAAGGGGGCUAGCGUUGCUCGGAAUCACUGGGCGUAAAGGGUGCGUAGGCGGGUCUUUAAGUCAGGGGUGAAAUCCUGGAGCUCAACUCCAGAACUGCCUUUGAUACUGAGGAUCUUGAGUUCGGGAGAGGUGAGUGGAACUGCGAGUGUAGAGGUGAAAUUCGUAGAUAUUCGCAAGAACACCAGUGGCGAAGGCGGCUCACUGGUACACUUCUGACGCU
rnacentral:rRNA from 1 species